AUAAAAUGAAAAAGAAAAGGGGCCUAAUCUACUAGACACUUGGCCCAUCUAGCACAAAGGCCGGCCCAGCCCACACACCCCUGCUAUCCCUAACCUCACUACAGGGACGGGGGGCUGGAUCCACGCCAGGGAGACGCCACGGCCACGCGUCGGACAUCAGCGGCCGUCGCCCCCUCUAUAAGACGCCGGCGACCCCUCCCCCACGAACCCUAACAAAAUCCCCUUGCUCCUCCCUCUGCCGCUCAAGUGUGUCAAGGAGCUCCAUGGCCAUCGCCUUCGUCUUCCCCGCAACUGUAAUUGAGUCGGGGUCAUCAAGGUCGUCCCCCGCGUUGUUCCCCUCCACCGACAUCCGCCCCGGCCAGCUCGUCGGUCCGCUCCACCCCGAGCCGCUCCGGUCGUCCCCAACCCCUCCCUCGAGCUCGCACGCGACCUCUCCUGUGAGCUCCACCCCACUCGCCCCUGCGGCUACUGCUACUACUGUUUCUGGUGUUUGUUGUUCAGCCCCACCUGCUGCUGCUACUACUACCCGCGCGCCACUGCGCCUGCCUGCUCGCCCAACCGCAUCCCUACGCACGCCCCUGCUGCUGCUGUCCGUAGCUGUCGCGCCCGCCUCCGGCUGAGCCGACCGCGUGCACGCCCGCGCUUAUGGUGCCUACAUUGUUGUUGCUUCUUGCUUCUCCUGUUGGCUGCUCCCGCUACUCCACUGCUGAUGGUAGACGUUGUUGCCGCUCCUUGCUGCUCCCGCUGGCCCUGGCCGCUGCUACUGGGCUGCUGCUCCUGUGGCGUUGGUGCUGCUGUUGUACGCGCCCGCGCAUGGCCUCGUCGCGGCUUGCUGCAGCUGCCCGAUGCUCCGCUUCUCUGCCGCUGUUGCUGCUGCUUAGACUCUGCUAUUUGCUGCUCCUGUGAAGCUGCUAUCGUUGCUUAGUUGUUGAGGCCGCUGCGUUACAAUUGCAUGCUAUCGCUGCCCCGCGUUGUCCGUUCGGCCGCUGCGCUCCCCGUCGUUGCUGUUGGCCAUGGCCGAGUGCGUCAUGCUUGUGUGUGCCGUGUGUGUACAUGCAGGCAUGGCUCGGUGUGCCACCGGCCAGCCCGUGUUUAAUUAGAUUGGCUAGGCUUAAAGUUAGUCUAGUAGUACAUGACAUGUAGGCCCUCAAAUUAAAUAAGUUAGAUAUAUUUAAUUGUUUAGAUAUAAUAUAUGACAUGUGGGGCCCAUUCCUUUUAGUUUAAAAAGAUUUUAAAAACAAAUAUGUUAAUAAGUUAAUUAAUUAAUUAAUUAGUGAUCUAAUUAAUUAGUUUAAUUAAUCUGGGUAGUCUAUGACACGUGGGUCCAUUGACUGUGUUGAGUAGUCAAUCUUUGACUGGUCAACUGCUGACAAGGCAUGCUGACUGGACCCCUAGUUCCCACUGUCAUAGACUAUGGCUUGAUUAGCACUAGUUGAGAAAAAAUACCUAGUUUAUUUUUGAGUUAAAUAAUUUUAGAAUUUUGUUAAAUCUUUGUAAAACCAUAGGAAAAUAAACCAUAACUCCGAUGAAAAUAUGUUGUACAUAAAAGUUGAUCACAAGAACGAGACGAACCCGGAUACACGGUCCAUUCGUCUGUCACGUGUCCCCAGCAUAGCAAACAUGGAACAUUUCCAUCGUUUCCAGUAUGACCGGUAGUAGCCCGAGACCCGGAAAAUAUCGUCAGAUAUUCUUCCGACCCGUCUAUGACGGAUGUUGCUGCGUUAGCUCAUGUCUAGCCUGCAUCUUGCCAUGUCAUGCUUUGUGUUGCACCGUUGCUAUUAUUUAUUGUUUCUUCCCCCUCUUCUUACCGGUAGACCCCGAGACUACGCUGCUGCCGGGUACAUCUACGACCCUGUCGAUCAGUCCUUUGCCGCAGAGCAGCAAGGCAAGCAAACCCCCCUUGAUCAUUCCUAUAUCGCCUAUGUCUUUCUUCCUACUGCUUGCAUUAGUAUUUUGCUACUGUUGUAGUUAGCUCCUAUAUCUGAUGCAUAGGCUGUUUUUGAUGAACUGCUACUUUCAGUCCUGUACCUUUAAAUCUUCUUAGUAUAGGUGGAGCAGUCAUCCCCUCUGACCCCGUAGUCCACUUGCCCCGCUUGUUUUAAAAUCUCGAUCUCUGAUCGAUGAGCCAGACCCGACACAGCACAUACACCCCCUUCGUUGUACGACGCUACAGAGAUACUAUCGGGUACCGAGGGUGACACCUCGCUAAGUACUCCUGAUGAUAUCUCUGUAGUAUAGCUAGUCGGUCAUGGUUAUCGAGGGUGAUUCCUCUUUCACCAUUCCCGAUGACGCCUCUGUCGUGCAACCCCUCAAGUGUGGGACCCCCGAGGGUGAUUCCUCUAAGCCCACCUUGACGGGUACAUCGUUCGGAAUCCAACGAGGGUGAUACCUCGGAUUCCCCCCGAUGUUACAACCACACAGUUACUCGACCAUGUUACUGGGAUCUUUGGUGAUUAGUUGUAAGACGGGUGGAUUCCCGUGAGACUGUGUUGAUGGCCUAAUUAAAAUGUUAAUAGAUUUGGGUAUUUGAUCUGGGUUGGUCGGAGACCUUUUCGCACUAACCGGCUACGUGGGAAGAAUUAUGGGUACUCGGCGUCGCGGUAUCAGCCGAAGCUUUUCAGAUGUCAGCAAAUGUAGCAGCGCGCGCCCGACUGGUCCCGAGAUGCAUCGCUCUUGUGAUUAAGGGAUGCUAGGACUGACGUGGACCGCCCACGCCACGUGCAGGAGCGUGAAGGGGAACUGGGCCCACGAACCCUUUGUGCUUAGGAGUUAGACCGGCGGGCUGGCCUCUCUGAUUAGUCUUAGGUGGGGCUGCAACGUGUCGAUAUUCCGAGGCCGGGCAGGACCCAGAAAAGUAUGUCCGGCCAGAGUGUUAUCGAGCGUGACGGGACAUGUGGUGCACCCCUGCAGGGAUGAAAUUUAACUAUUCGAAUAGCCGUGUCCAUGGUUACAGGACGACUUGGAGUUGUGCCCCGAUCUUUUACAACUACAAUUGUUACUUAACUCGAUCAUUAGUUUGCCUCGGGAUUGCUUCCUCGCAGGGAGUCGAGGGAGGAUCUUUAGGCGUGACCUCACUUUAAUAUUGCUGCAACAAUAUGACUAUUAAUGUUUUACCCGUGUUCUACUCUCGUCUAUUGCUACAAGACCCUGAAGAUGCUAGUCUUCGAUAGGACUAGGCCUUCUCUCUCUAUUCUCGCAUUGCUGCAGUCAGUCCACAUAUAACCCCCCUUCUUUGAUACUGGUGCAUAUUUAGCAUAGUUCUGAUGUAAGUCUUGCGAGUACUUUGGAUGAGUACUCACCGCUGCUUUGCUUCCCCCUUGUCCCCUUGAUCCGUUUGCUGCGACCAGAUGAUGGAGCCCAGGAGAUGGUGUUUCCUGCCGACGCCUGUCGCCCCGUUGGUGUCUUCUUCAUGGAGGCCGCUGAAGAUAGAUGUAGUUUAGGAGGUUCCCAGGCAGGAGGCCUCGCCUCGUUCGAUCGUUGUAUCUUUUGUGCUAGCCUUCUCUAAGGCACCCCAUGUUUUAUGUCUGUACUCAGAUAUUGUUGCAUCCGCUGACUCGUGUGUUUAUCGAGCUUCUGUAUUCUAGCCCUCGAGGGCCCUGGCUUGUAAUAUGCAGCUUGUAUUAUUGUUUUUUGUGUCUAGAGUUGUGUUGUGAUAUCUUCCCGUGAG
rnacentral:lncRNA from 1 species